rnacentral:rRNA from 1 species
CAGUAGCCGCGGUAAUACGUAGGGUGCGAGCGUUGUCCGGAAUUAUUGGGCGUAAAGAGCUUGUAGGCGGUCUGUCGCGUCUGCUGUGAAAACCCGAGGCUCAACCUCGGGCCUGCAGUGGGUACGGGCAGACUAGAGUGCGGUAGGGGAGAACGGAACUCCUGGUGUAGCGGUGGAAUGCGCAGAUAUCAGGAAGAACACCGAUGGCGAAGGCAGUUCUCUGGGCCGUAACUGACGCUGAGAAGCGAAAGCGUGGGGAGCGAACAGGAUUAGAUACCCCGGUAGUCCCUGUCUCUUAUAU